rnacentral:rRNA from 1 species
UACGUAGGGGGCAAGCGUUGUCCGGAAUCAUUGGGCGUAAAGAGCGCGUAGGCGGCCCUGUAAGUCCGCUGUGAAAGUCAAGGGCUCAACCCUUGAAUGCCGGUGGAUACUGCAGGGCUAGAGUCCGGAAGAGGCGAGUGGAAUUCCUGGUGUAGCGGUGAAAUGCGCAGAUAUCAGGAGGAACACCGGUGGCGAAGGCGGGUCUCUGGGCAACAACGUGACGCUGGAGGAGCGAAAGCGUGGGGAGCGAACAGGA